rnacentral:rRNA from 1 species
CGGUCCCUAUCCGUCGCGGGCGCAGGAAAUUUGAGAGGAGCUGUCCUUAGUACGAGAGGACCGGGAUGGACACACCGCUGGUGUACCAGUUGUUCCGCCAGGAGCAUGGCUGGGUAGCUACGUGUGGACGGGAUAAGUGCUGAAAGCAUCUAAGCAUGAAGCCCCCCUCAAGAUGAGAUUUCCCAUCGCGCAAGCGAGUAAGACCCCUUGUAGAUGACAAGGUUGAUAGGUCUGAGGUGGAAGCGUGGCAACACGUGCAGCUGACAGAUACUAAUCGGUCGAGGGCUUAUCCA